rnacentral:rRNA from 1 species
UACGUAGGGGGCAAGCGUUGUCCGGAAUCAUUGGGCGUAAAGCGCGUGUAGGCGGCUUGGUAAGUCUGCUCUGAAAGCCCGGGGCUCAACCCCGGGAGGCGGGUGGAUACUGUCAAGCUCGAGUCCGGAAGAGGAGUGUGGAAUUCCUGGUGUAGCGGUGAAAUUCGUAGAUAUUCGGAAGAACACCAGUGGCGAAGGCGACUUACUGGACACAUAUUGACGCUGAGGUGCGAAAGCGUGGGGAGCAAACAGG